GAUGAAGAACGUAGCGAAUUGCGAUAAGUAAUGUGAAUUGCAGAAUUACGUGAAUCAUCGAAUCUUUGAACGCAUAUUGCACUCUCUGGUAAUCCGGGGAGUAUGCCUGUUUGAGGGUCAGUAAAUAAUAAUUAUCAUGAAUCUUUGAUUUAUGGAAUUGGGCUUUUAGUUCGAUAGAUCUAUGGCCUUAAAUUUACGUUAUGGGCUUGUCAUAUAAAAUAUCCGAUCUAAAGGAGCAAUUAAACAUUCUCUCAUUAGCGGAUUUUUACAAGCUGUUAUGAUCUUUGGUUGCUUUCAGCAUUUUUACGAGUGCGAAACCAAGAUCGUAAGCUUGCUCUAACAAUGACCUCAAAUCAGGCAAGAAUACCCGCUGAUCUUAAGCAUAUCAAUAAGCGGAGGA
rnacentral:misc_RNA from 1 species